GUCAGCGUUACGAUGGCGACGGGGGCGAGCCGGCCAUCCCGGCCUCACAAGGAGCCGCAGCCGCUGGUCAGCACCUCAAGCUGUAGAGGCUCAUGAGGAACCCGGUGCCGAUUCUGACCAUUCUUCAAAGCGGCAAGCUAGCGAAGAGGACGAUGACGGUGCCUCUGAGGAGGAGAAGGAUGACGCAGAAGAGCCCAGCUUUAUCANGGAGAGAUGAUGGAAUGGCGUUCAUUCAUGCAACGUGAGGAGGGGAAAGCGGAGAGAGAAAAUCUUUUUCAAGGCCUUUCUCUCUCUUUUCUUCUUUCUGGCUAGAAGGGAAGA
rnacentral:lncRNA from 1 species